AACGAACGCUGGCGGCAGGCCUAAUACAUGCAAGUCGAACGCCUGUAGCAAUACAGGAGUGGCGCACGGGUGAAUAACACGUGGGAAUAUGCCUUUUGGUACGGGAAAACGUUUGGAAACGGACGCUAAUACCGUAUGGUCCCUUCGGGGUAAAGAUUUAUCGCCAAAAGAUUAGCCCGCGUCUGAUUAGCUAGUUGGUGAGGUAACGGCUCAACAAGGCGACGAGGAGGAGCUGGUAUGAGAGGACAAUCAGACACACUGGGACAGAGACACGGCACAGACUCAUAGGGGAGGCAGGAGUAGAGAAUAUUGGACAGUGGGCGCAAACCUGGUCCAGCCAUGGCGAGUGGGUGGAGAAGGCCUUCGGGUUGUAAAGCUCUUUAAUGCGAGAAUUAAAUGACUGUAGCGGAAGAAUAAGCCCCGGCUAACUUCGUGCCAGCAGCCGCGGUAA
rnacentral:rRNA from 1 species